rnacentral:misc_RNA from 1 species
CCGAGUUUACAACUCCCAAACCCCUGUGAACAUACCAAUCGUUGCCUCGGCGGGACCGCCCCGGCGCCCCCGGGCCCGGACCCAGGCGCCCGCCGGAGGACCCCUAAACUCACUUGAUUCCACGGUGUAUCUUCUGAGUGACACAAGCAAAUAAAAUCA